rnacentral:rRNA from 1 species
AUACGGAGGAUCCGAGCGUUAUCCGGAUUUAUUGGGUUUAAAGGGUGCGCAGGCGGCCAUUUAAGUCAGCGGUUAAAUCGUGGGGCUCAACCCCAUUCUGCCGUUGAUACUGGGUGGCUUGAUUGCGGUCGAGGUUGGCGGAAUUCGUUGUGUAGCGGUGAAAUGCAUAGAUAUGACGAAGAACACCGAUUGCGUAGGCAGCUGACCAGACCGCAAAUGACGCUCAUGCACGAAAGUGCGGGGAUCGAACAGGAUUAGAUACCCUGGUAGUCUGCACAGUAAACGAUGAAUACUUGUUUUCGGCGAUAUAAUGUCGGAGGCGAAGCGAAAGCGAUAAGUAUUCCACCUGGGGAGUACGCCGGCAACGGUGAAACUCAAAUGAAUUGACGGG